UAGCUGUAGGCCCUUUUCCCCCAAUAAAAGGGACACAAAACCCAAGGAUCGAUUGGGUAUGAAACCGGCCGAAUAAAGCCUGAAACGUUGCUUGCGAGGAAGACACUGGCUCCCACGCACGCCAUUGACUGGUGUCAGCUCAGGCACCUGGGCUUCUCUGCUUGCAGCAUGCAGAGACUUGGCAGAUUGCUGUGAACGGGACGUGAAAGGAACAGCCUGAUCUACAAUCAAAGGGACCAUAAAUGGUCCUUUGCCAAGCCCUCCACAUGCAAUUGCCCUUCAGCCUAAUGUCCCAGCAAAAUGGCACGCCAUCCCCUCCAGGCAGCGCACGUUACCACCUUUUCCUUUUACAUAGCCAGCCUGACAUUUGAGCGAUUGCAGAUAUUGAUUGGCCCUGUCCAAUUUGUAGGUAACAAAACAUAUUCUAACUUUCAAGCAAAUUAGCCUUUGCAAAGGUGAAUGAGGAAUAAAACAGCCAUUAAAAAGUCA